GAUGAACGCUGGCGGCGUGCCUAAUACAUGCAAGUCGAGCGAACAGAUAAGGAGCUUGCUCCUUUGACGUUAGCGGUGGACGGGUGAGUAACACGUGGGUAACCUACCUAUAAGACUGGGAUAACUUCGGGAAACCGGAGCUAAUACCGGAUAACAUUUGGAACCGCAUGGUUCUAAAGUGAAAGAUGGUUUUGCUAUCACUUAUAGAUGGACCCGCGCCGUAUUAGCUAGUUGGUAAGGUAACGGCUUACCAAGGCAACGAUACGUAGCCGACCUGAGAGGGUGAUCGGCCACACUGGAACUGAGACACGGUCCAGACUCCUACGGGAGGCAGCAGUAGGGAAUCUUCCGCAAAGGGCGAAAGCCUGACGGAGCAACGCCGCGUGAGUGAUGAAGGGUUUCGGCUCGUAAAACUCUGUUAUUAGGGAAGAACAAAUGUGUAAGUAACUGUGCACGUCUUGACGGUACCUAAUCAGAAAGCCACGGCUAACUACGUG
rnacentral:rRNA from 1 species